CCUUCACAGAAGUCACUUAACUCUCUAAGUCUAGGGUUCCUUAUCUGGGAACUGAGAAAAAUAAGAGCACUGAUUCCAUGGGGUGCUUAGGAAGAAGUCACCCAUGACUCUCUGGAACAACAUUGUGGGGAAGGCCAAGUUUCUGGGGUACUGGAUGGACUUGAAAGCUGGACAGAAGAAUCAUCUUACUGGGUGGCAGUGGCCUCUUCAGACUUUGGACUGUGGAGAGACACCUGCCUCUCUGUGAGAACG